UUGGUUAUUCUUGCCUGAGACUCUCCAAGUUCGUUAAACUAAAAAGAAAUGGAUCAGGUUAUGACUUUUAUUGAACCUGGGCGUCAAUUCGCCAAAGAUUCUCUUCGUUUGGUUAAAAGGUGCACAAAACCAGAUCGGAAAGAAUUCCAAAAAAUUGCCAUGGCCACUGCUAUUGGCUUUGCCAUUAUGGGUUUCAUUGGAUUUUUCGUCAAGCUUAUCCACAUCCCCAUCAAUAAUAUCAUUGUUGGUUCCUAAUGGUGUUGUCCAUUAAACCAGAAAAAUUCCAGAAGUUUGGUACUUUGUGUGUAAUGUUUAAAGAAACACAUGAAAAUAAAUCUUGUUUACCCCUUAACAAA